UAUUGGACAAUGGACGCAAGCCUGAUCCAGCCAUGCCGCGUGAGUGAUGAAGGCCCUAGGGUUGUAAAGCUCUUUUGUGCGGGAAGAUAAUGACGGUACCGCAAGAAUAAGCCCCGGCUAACUUCGUGCCAGCAGCCGCGGUAAUACGAAGGGGGCUAGCGUUGCUCGGAAUCACUGGGCGUAAAGGGUGCGUAGGCGGGUCUUUAAGUCAGAGGUGAAAUCCUGGAGCUCAACUCCAGAACUGCCUUUGAUACUGAGGAUCUUGAGUUCGGGAGAGGUGAGUGGAACUGCGAGUGUAGAGGUGAAAUUCGUAGAUAUUCGCAAGAACACCAGUGGCGAAGGCGGCUCACUGGCCCGAUACUGACGCGAGGCACGAAA
rnacentral:rRNA from 1 species